rnacentral:lncRNA from 1 species
CCCCAUGUAGCCCUUGUUCCUUGUUUUCGUUUCCUAGGGAGCCAGUCAUCAAUGGUGCUUUGCCACAGAGUUGGAGAAACAGCUCCCACUGGAUCUGUCACUUUGGUGGAAAUUUCUCAAUCUGGUCUACCCUGUAACAGAAACCCUGUUCUUUAGACUUCGUAACUCAAAGACUGCUUGCUUGCUUUCUGUGUUUUUUUUUUUUUUUUUUUUUUUUUUUUUUGUCUUUUUGCCAUUUCUUGGGCCGUUCCUGCGGCAUAUGGAGGUUCCCGGGCUAGGGGUUGAAUCGAAGCUGUAGCUGCCUGCCUACACCACAGCCACAGCAACGCCAGAUUUGAGCUGCAUCUGUGACCUACACCACAGCUUAUAGCAAUGAUGGAUCCUUAACUCAGAAGGAGGCCAGGGAUCAAACUCACAUCCUCGUGGAUGCUAGUCGGAUUCAUUUCUGCUGCACCACAGCGGGGACUCCCUCAAAGAUUUUCUUUCAAUUUUAAAAAUGUAAUAUGCCAUAUGCCAAAGAGUACCAUGGGCUGGAGCUUGGCUUAGCUACCCACACAAAAUAUAUUGCACUUGUGGUGAAGGAACUGAAAUUUUAAGUUUUGUAAAACAGUGAAUUCUGUUCUUUGAGUUCUUCAGUAGCAUAAAAGGCUGUGUCACUGCAGAAUCAAAUGAAAUGAACAUCUAUCCAUUGUAACUAUUCUGAUCUAUGUAGCUAAUCAAAAUGCUGAAAAGCAAAAGGCUGAAAAUUUUUCCUGUAGUUUUAUUACUGGAACAAGCUUGCAUUGAUUAGCUUCAGCUCUCCUUCUCUUGUUUUGUGUGAUAGUUAGAAAGUGAGCCACAUGCCUUAUUUCUUUCUGCAGUUUGGAUGGACAUGGGAAAAGCUUUCAUUUAGGCACUAACAAAAGGACUUUCUUUUAUCCACCCAGGAUUUCUUUCACAUUCUCUCCUGCAGUUCUCCCAGCUUGAGAAUGGUGGUGCUGCUGCCCUAUUCUUGCUUUCCUGUUGAACUCACUUAGCUGAGGGCUUUCCCCUCCCUAGAUCAUUAACAUUUGCAGGGAGGUCAAGAAGAAAGCACCAUUCAACCCCCUGAUUCAGAACAUAAGCCAAUGACUUCUAAAAGUCAGAGGAGGGCCUGCCAGCAUCUUUCUGGCUCCUGUGCCUGGUGUCCCACAAGGUUAGCAGGUGCAUUGGCUGGGCCCUGUGUCGCUUUUACAGAAAAGCAUCAGAUACUUGCCUCAGCUGAGAAGGCAGAGGUGAUUGCUACAGAUUAACAGUCUGAUCCAUGGAGGCAAACCUGGAGCUUAAUGAAUUCAUUCCAGAAAGCUCUCCAAUGUCCCCCAAAGCACAAAUCAGGUCAGAGAAAAUAUGAAUUGACUCUUGAAGAAAAGCAUAAGGAGAGGACAGUUUUAUGGGUGGGUGGAAAGGUUUCUGUGUUCCCAAAGCUGAGUGGUAGGGAACAUAGCAGGUAUUUUGCAGAGAAGCAUUCCCCAAACAGACUAGAGAUGUGUACGCCGGCCUCCAGGUGAGGCUAAGUGUGUCUUGGGAGGCCCCCAACUGGAGGACAGUUCCCCUUUCUCCCCCUCUAAGGCCUCAUUGUUUAAUCUAUGGGAUUAACAGGGCCCUUAGUGCACCUGGAUCCCUCUUCGCCUCCCUUCUGGAGCCUGAGGGAGGGGGGAGCUCUUUCCUGCCUCAGUUCCACUGUGGUUUCCGCUCUGCCUCCGUGAAACCCUGAUCCUCAACAGGACAGGGGGGCAUGGCAGCAGCUUAUCGAGCCAUCAGCCCCAGGAGUCCCCUUUCUAUUCAGUUCGCUUUUCUCAGUGAUCUUUGGAGGGUCAGGGCUUUAAGUACAGAGACAAGCAGCUUUGGCUCAAUUCCCAUCCCAUCAGCUUGCUUACAAGCUGCCAUCCUCAGCUGUGUGUGUCUCUGAAUUGAGGCGAUCGGUGCUGCUCCAGAGCUAAACUAAUCAUAAAAAUUCCUGACAGCUCUGAAUGCAGACCCUCCUGCUCGUUUUAAAUCACAGGCGCGCUUCUCCGGCUAGCUCUCUGGAGCAAUAACAAGGACAAAUACGAAAAGGCAGGCUGGGAAGAAGCAUGUGCUUGCGCGCGUGGGCGGGAUUGUCUGGGGAGUGUUUCCAGGGAUCUCUGGCAGGAGGCUUCUUGUUCGUGAAGGAUUUCCCCGGCACUGCAGGAGCAGGAUAACAGAUGGGCUGCUCUCUACAGCGGGAGGGAAAAUACCUUUUGUCGUCGUCGCCAGUGCCCUUUACUGCAGGCCAGCAAAUAGCAGAGCCGUGCAGGCACCCCUUCUGCUCCUGGACGCAGCCUCUCUGUCUUGAGGCAUCAGAUUUUUUCUCUGUAGGAAUAGAAAUGGUAUUUUUCACAGUGUUCAGCUCUGGGAAGCUGUCAGCCGUGAAGAGUGCCCCGUUCUUGUUCAGAGGCGUAGCUUUGGGAACACUGGCGUGAACAGCCAAAGGCAUUUUCAUUUUUAGAGAUUGUCAGACACCUUCACAGGCUUCCUGUUUAUGUCCCUCCGCCCCCCCUCCCCUUUUACCCCCUCCACCUUCCCGAGGACGCUGACCUCAUUCUUUCUAUCUUCAGGCUUGUGCCAUAUGUGGCGAGCAGAAGCCCCAGGACAAGGAAUCAAUGUGAAAAGGUUUUCCUUGUUAGAACCAGACUCGUGGCACACUGAGAAUGGAUGUUAAGAAAAACUCAGUCACCGCUGAAAUUCUCUAAAGUAGCCUGUGCUUUGGCUUGUCAUUUUAUCACCGUCUUGAGAUUUUUUUUUUGGUCACCUCCAACACAAUUUAUGAAAAGAGUAAACCAAACCAGAAUUCUUUGUUGAAUUCUCACACCAGCCAGUUGAGGUAGACGUUAUUGGUUCUCUGAUUUCUUCCAAAAAGACCAAAGCAAAGAGGAAUCAGUAUAUUUUGGAAAAAUUUAGAGCCUGGUUUGUCUUCUCCCACAUGAUGUCUUUGGGCUCAGUGUGGAUUCCCACUCUUCUCCAGCUGCCCCCAGCCUGGCAUCUGCAGGUGCUUUUCCUUCCAGAGGUGGUGGCUCCUGCUCUCUGAUGCUCCUGUGGGAGACACUAGUGAGGAAUUUCAGCUGAACCUAGUUGUUUUGAGUGUAGAUUUGGGACUUUCAUGUGUGCCAGGAAUACACAGCUUUUGUAACUGCUCUUUCUUUUUUGAGAAUUGUGAUCCUUUUAUACCUCUCUGCUUUUCUUCCUCCUGUGGUUAUUUUUUUUUUUCUUUCUCUAUUUCCUGCUCUAUCUCUUCUUAUCUUUUUUUUUUUUUUUUAAGAAUAAUGGAUCCCUUUCUAUUUAUCCUAUGGGUUUUUAAAACUGACCAAUGACUUACCUUUAUCUGUUGUGAUUUCUGAAAGAGAUGGUUUGGUGAAUCUGGCCAAAAAUGUUUAGGCUGCAUUCUCAAACUACCUGAUCUUAUGAGUCUUCUAAUCUAUGUGGAAAGCAGUUUUGGUCCUAAAACAGGUGAUUAAAAACAGCUUUCCAGAGUAAUCAUUUGCUCCCAAUGACUAUGUGCUUGUCCUUUUGUGAAUAUUGGGUAAACUACUAGGUUAUCUGUCCACUCCUAUUCUGCAUCCUUCUUGAUGGCAAGGAUGGUUUCACUCAUUUUCGUAUCCUCUGUGAUGCCUAGAAGACAUAAUGAGAUUUCAGCUAUUUUUUUUUUUUUUGGUCUUUUUUGGGCCACUCCAGCAGCAUAUGAAAGUUCCCAGGCUAGGGGUUGAAGUCGAGCUGCAGCUGCAGGUCUACACCACAGCCAUAGCAAUGCCAGAUCUGAGCUGCAUCUGUGAGCUAUACCACAGCUCAUGGCAUCGCCGGAUCCUUAACCCACUCAGUGUGGCCAGGGAUCAAACCUGAGUCCUCAUGGAUACUAGUUGGGUUUGUUAUCACUGAGCCAUGACAGGAACUCCCUCAGCUAAUUUAAUUCUUAUAAAAAGUGUGUAUGGGGUGUUCCCAUUGUGGCUCAGUGGAAACGAAUCUGACUAGUAUCCAUGAGGAUGCUACUUUGAUUUCUGGCCUCACUCAGUGGGUUGUGGAUCUGGUGUUGUGGUAAGCUGUGGUGUAGGUCGCAGAUGAGGUUCAUAUCUGGCAUUGCUGUGGCUGUGGGGUAGUCCAAGAACUACAGAUCCCAUUAGACCCCUAGCUGGAAACCUCUGUAUGCUGCAGGUGCGGCCCUAAAAAAAAAAUAGAAGUGUGUGUGUCAGAAAGCUGGAGGAAACGAGCCAUGCAUAAUUGAGAAGGGCAAAAUCUUUUCAUUCUGGAUCUGUAGCUGCUAAAUUAUUGAUUGAAAAAAUUAAUCUCUCCAGAUAUUUAUGAACUAGAAUUGGAUCCAGAAAAUAAAUCCAAGUUUCUGUUAUUUCCACAGAUGCUGCCAGGCAUAUUUGGAUAACUUUUGAAAACUCUUGGAAACCUACUAACUUGUGAAAGAAAAUGUCCAGGAAAAAAAAAUGUAAAAAAAUAAUUUUUUAAAACAUUUAAAAACUUUUUCUUAACUCUUAUAAAGCCUGAAUAGAAAAUAAUAUUUUUACUAAAAUAAUAUUUUUUGGGGAUGGUGAUAAUAAAAGGCAAUAAAGUUAGUUUUUUUAGAUGAAAGGAAAUAAAAAUUUGUGUGAAAUUUUAUAAUUUGUAUGGAGUCUUUCAAUAAAGUGGGAGACUUCUUUUUUCCAUCUUCUUCAGUGGACACAAGAUUGAGGACUGUGAAGAGAGGUGCAAACAAUGGUUCAUUCACUGUCAGGAUUUUAUUAUUAACAUUUUAGUUUUACUUGGCAACAGAUUCCUUUCUUGGAAGAGCUGUGUUGGUUUAGUGAAUAAGCUGAUACAUUUUUGGAGCUGGGGGGUAAGACAGUGAAGAGUGUGCUCAAGGCCUGAUAACUUUUCUUCAAAUUACUUUCAGAAAAUGGUAGGACUGGGUUACUGCAAGGAUUUUGUUUCACCGACUGAAAUUUGGAAGCUUGGUUCAGGGAAUGAGUUUUUUUGUGACAAUUAAGAGGAUUUUAGAAGAAUAAAGGAGAAGGCCGAUGAAGUGUUUGGUGACUAGAGCAGAACUGCAGAGGGUGAAAGCAUUGUCUGAGGAAGAAUUUUUUUUCUGUCACACUCAUGGCUUGUGGAAGUUCCUGGGCCAGGGAUUGAACCCACACCACAACAGUGACACCAGAUCCUUAACCUGGUGUACCACAAGGGAACUCCAGGAAGAAUAUUUUAAAAUGCAGAUUUUUUUUUUUUUUUUUUUUUUACCCCUAGCCUGGGAACCUCCAUAUGCUGCAAGUGUGACCCUAAAAAAAAAUUAAUAAAAGAGAAAUCAUACAAGUCCAUAUGCAUUGAUAUUUUUGCAUGAAAUUAUAAUAAUAAAAGAUAAAGGGCCUAAAAUAGUGUAUCAUGUGGUUUUACUGACCUUGAACUUUUCAAAUUCUCUGGGAAUCUGGCUUGUUACCUGCACCAUUGUAGAUAAGCCAGAAGGGGAAAGCCUGGUGGAAAUGCUUUCCUCAAAUUCUCGUUGCUUUGAUUUAAAUUUUCCAUCUUAAAAUGCACCCUAAUGGUGAGUUGAGCAGGUAUAUGGCCCAUGCUAUUGGCCAAGUAGAGCUCCAGGACCUCAGCGAUGCUUGUUAGGACUUGAUAUUUAAGAGAAACAGUGGUACAUGAGGAAUGUGUCAUCACUGGUGCCAUAUUGAUCUUUCAAAAGUAAUUCUAACCUAGAUUAGAACUAUGGGGACGUGGUGAUGUGAGACUUCCACUGAACAAACACGUCUGGACUACUGCCUCAACAAAAAUUCAGAGUGUACUCUUUCCUGAGAAAGAAAC